rnacentral:lncRNA from 1 species
AGUAAAGAACAGUGAUUGCUAGAGUUAGCAACAUAAAGUGAUGUAAAGAACACUAGAGUUAGUGUGAUGACAUGAUUGAACUUAUAAUCCUUAGAGUUAAGGAUUCGAUCAUACUUGCUAUGAGUUCCGUGCUUGAGGGCGGUCGCGCCCCCUCGAGCGAUGCGCUUCGGAGUUUUUGCAGCACGGGUUGGAGUAAACCCGAGGACGGUCCUAGCGGGUGAGUUCCUACGAUAAUGGACUUAAUGUGUAGCAAGUUUAAUGAUAGCCGUGAGAUUUAAGAACAAGAACAAAGAGCAAUGACUACAGAAUAAAAAGUAAAGAACAAAGCACCUGCAUAAUCUGCAUAAUUAUGUUGAGCAUAUUCCUUGCUUUAUUGUUCAGGCAUAUUAGCAUCAUGUUGUAGAUUGGUUACUAUAUUUCAGCUUAUCCUUUCUAUUAUGCCUGAGUUAGUCCUAGUGGGAAAGUCGGUGAUGUUGGGGCCGAACCCACUGGGAACUUCGUUGUAGUUCUCACCCCACUAUUUCCACAGGGCCGGGACCGAGCGAGCCGGCGAGCGACCGAGGUAAAGGUAUCGCGCCUUAGACAGAGGCCACCAGAGUUGAGCUUGGUUUAUAUUUUGUUAAUAGAGUACCCUAUGUUCAUCUUUUGUAUUUGAUGACUAGUGAUGUAAAGAAAAGAAUAUAAAGCUCAUUUUGUGGUAAAUGUGAUGUAAAAGAAAUGAUGCAAA